AGAGUUUGAUCCUGGCUCAGAACGAACGCUGGCGGCGUGCCUAACACAUGCAAGUCGAGCGCGAAUGGGGGCAACCCCUAGUAGAGCGGCGCACGGGUGAGUAACACGUGGGUAAUCUGCCUGGAAGACCGGGAUAACCUGCCGAAAGGCAAGCUAAUACCGGAUGAGCUCCCGGGCUCUUCGGAGCCUGAGAGAAAAGCUGGCCUCUGCAUGCAAGCUAGUACUUCCAGAUGAGCCCGCGGCCCAUCAGCUUCGUUGGGCGGGAGUAAUGGCCGCACCAAGGCGUACCAACGGGGUAGGCUGGUCUGAGAAAGGAACGAUCAAGGCCCCACCUGGGAACCUGGAAACCACGGGUGUCAAAAUCCCUACACGGGAGGGGCAGCAGUGGGGGAAUUUUUGCCGCAAAUGGGCGAAAGCGCUGAGAGCCAGCCAACCCCCCCGUUGUGUGAAUGAAAAGUGUCUUCGGGAUAUGUUAAAGCACUUUUUCACACGGGGACGGAAAUCGGGCUUUGGGCCACCAUCCCAAGUGCAUUUUACGGGACCGGGGGGAAAAAACACCCGGGUAACUCUGUGGGCCGCAGGCCGCGGGGAUACAGAGGGUGGGAAGCCUUGUUUCGGAAAUUAUUGGGGGUAAAAGCGCCGUGUUAAGCCGCCAUGCAAAGUUCGGGUGUGGAAAAGCCCCUCUCGCUUCUCCCCGAAGAAAGUGCAACCCGAAAACUGCCGUGCUUGAGUAACCGGAAAGGGUGGGCGGGAAAUAUCCCCCAGUAGAGGUGAAAUUUGGUAAAUAUUGGGGGAGGGAAAAAACCCGUGUCUGAAAGCGGCCACCCUGGGAGCGGAUACUAACGCUGGAGACGAGAAACGCCGUGCUUCAGCAAACCGGGAUUUAGAUCCCCAUGUUAGUCCCACGCUGUAACCCGAUGGAGAUCUAGGGUCUCGUGGGUUGUUGACCCCCCCGCGGCUGCGGUUAGUUUAACCGCAUUUAAGUUUCUCCCGUCGGGGAGAAGUACCGUCUCGCAAGGUAUAAAAAUCUCAAAGGGAAUUGACGGGGGCCCCGCACCAAGCGGUGGACGCAAUGUGGUUUUAAUUUGGACGGCAAACGGCGCAGGAACUUUUACCUUGUUUCUUGGACAAUCCUUCGAGACCCCCCCAGGAGGAUGGUGGGGGUGCCCCCCAAGGGAAACCGAAGAAGCACAAGGUUGCUUGCAAUGCCUGUGGUCAGGCUCGUGUCGUGAGGAUGGUUGGGUUUAAGUCCCGGCAACGAAGCCGCAACCCCUCCGCCUUUAGUUUGCUGCGCAAGCAGAACUCUAGAGGGACUGCCGGUGUUAAACCGGAGGAAGGUGGGGAUGACGUCAAGUCCUCAUGGCCUUUAUGACCAGGGCUACACCCGUGCUACAAUGGCCGGUACAAAGCGCUGCUAACUCGCGAGAGGGAGCCAAUCGCAUAAAACCGGUCUCGGUUCGGAUUGGAGUCUGCAACUCGACUCCAUGAAGUCGGAAUCGCUAGUAAUCGCAGAUCAGCACGCUGCGGUGAAUACGUUCCCGGGCCUUGUACACACCGCCCGUCACACCAUGGGAGUCAGUUGCUCCAGAAGUCGGCGAGCCAACCGCAAGGAGGCAGCCGCCCAAGGAGUGGCUGGUAACUGGGGUGAAGUCGUAACAAGGUAACC
rnacentral:rRNA from 1 species